AUUGAACGCUGGCGGCAGGCUUAACACAUGCAAGUCGAGCGGGGGAAGGUAGCUUGCUACCGGACCUAGCGGCGGACGGGUGAGUAAUGCUUAGGAAUCUGCCUAUUAGUGGGGGACAACAUCUCGAAAGGGAUGCUAAUACCGCAUACGUCCUACGGGAGAAAGCAGGGGAUCUUCGGACCUUGCGCUAAUAGAUGAGCCUAAGUCGGAUUAGCUAGUUGGUGGGGUAAAGGCCUACCAAGGCGACGAUCUGUAGCGGGUCUGAGAGGAUGAUCCGCCACACUGGGACUGAGACACGGCCCAGACUCCUACGGGAGGCAGCAGUGGGGAAUAUUGGACAAUGGGGGGAACCCUGAUCCAGCCAUGCCGCGUGUGUGAAGAAGGCCUUAUGGUUGUAAAGCACUUUAAGCGAGGAGGAGGCUACUUUAGUUAAUACCUAGAGAUAGUGGACGUUACUCGCAGAAUAAGCACCGGCUAACUCUGUGCCAGCAGCCGCGGUAAUACAGAGGGUGCGAGCGUUAAUCGGAUUUACUGGGCGUAAAGCGUGCGUAGGCGGCUUAUUAAGUCGGAUGUGAAAUCCCCGAGCUUAACUUGGGAAUUGCAUUCGAUACUGGUGAGCUAGAGUAUGGGAGAGGAUGGUAGAAUUCCAGGUGUAGCGGUGAAAUGCGUAGAGAUCUGGAGGAAUACCGAUGGCGAAGCAGCCAUCUGGCCUAAUACUGACGCUGAGGUACGAAAGCAUGGGGAGCAAAC
rnacentral:rRNA from 1 species